rnacentral:rRNA from 1 species
CUAACGAGGAUUUCCUUAGUAACGGCGAGUGAAAAGGAAAAAGCCCAACGCUGAAUCCAAUAGUUAUUUAAAUUAUAUGGAAAUGUAGCGUAUAAGUAUAACUAUUCGUAGCAUAUUUUUACACCCAAAGUCCCCUUGAGCGGGGCUACAGUCCAUAGAAGGUGCUAGACCUGUACGGGUGAAAAAAGUUACGAUAUGUUAUACUUUGGAGUCGGGUUGUUUGAGAUUGCAGCCCAAAGAGGGUGGUAAACCUCAUCUAAGGCUAAAUAUGACCACGAGACCGAUAGCAAACAAGUACCGUGAGGGAAAGUUGCAAAGAACUUUGAAGAGAGAGUUCAAGAGGGCGUGAAACCGCUGAGAUGGAAACGGAUAGAGUUAACGAAACAUAUCGAUAUUCAACUAAUCAAUUUAGCAAAUCUUAAUUUCAUUUAUUCAUUUUUGAAUAAAAUGAUAUAAUAAAAAAAAAGAGUUUUAUUAUGAAUGAUGGAUUUAUUGAUUGGUUGCAUUGAUAGCUUCCUUUAAKCAUAUUAAUACMAACAAUUAAUGGACCAAUUUUUUUAUCCAAUWAUUAAUUAUUGGAAUCCUUAAUAAUGGUGGAAAAAGUCUUAAAUGAAGGUUAAAUAAUUAAAAGGAACUUUCWCUUGGAAUAAUWAUGACCUGCAUCCAUUAAUAAUUUUUCUAAUUACCUUUACCUGGGGGCGGCUGCCACYUAUUCGUAAAUGGAUGAAUUAUUUUUUUAAAAAUAAUUAAUUUUUUAAUAUGGUUGCAUGCAAAGGUACCUCCUCAUGKGAACGAUCAAUCACCCAUCUGACCCGUCUUGAAACAACGACCAACGAAG